GUCUGCAGUUGACUACCGUCCAGGCUGCGCCAUAAGGACUCCAGGGCACAACCUGGUUUGUGCAGUUUGCUUCAGUUAUAUGGAUUUAAGAUUUGGCAAUAAUAAAUUUUAAAGAUGUUCACCUGGCACUGAGAGACGGGGUCUUGCCAUGUUGCCCAGGCUGAAGUCCAGUGGCUAUUCACUGCUGCUGUCAUAGUGCACUGAAGCCUCAAACUCCUGGCCUCAAGUAAUCCUUCCACCUCAGCCUCAAGUAUCUGGAACUAUAGAUUUCACUGGACACAAAGACAAGGAAGUGGUUUCUAUUAACAAAAGAUUGGCCUACUCAGAAUGGAAUGGGACAGAGGAGCCAGAAGCCCAGCAUGCAGAUGAGGCUGUGAGACGUACGCCCUCCAGACUGUGCAGAAAGGGCUCUGAACUCUUGCUGGCCAUGGAAUUGACAACAGAGUCAUUUUUAUCUAAUUCUCAAGGAUCAGGGAGGCCCUAUCUGAGAUCCAGGUUAAGAUUCGGUAUAAAUCCUAUUUGGAAGCUCUUGUGGGCCCCAUAGAGGAGUGGAGGAGAAUCCUGCCAGUACAUUCCAUUUAUAUUAAUAUCUAAUAGGGCAGUUGGAGGAAGGAAGAAUAGAUUGGAUUGACACCAACCAUUGCUUCAACAGACUCAGACCAAAUACUUAGGGGCCCAAUUCUCUGAGGUUUAUACCUAAUUUUAUUAUUUGCCAUAUUUCAUAUAUGUCACAUUCAAGAAAUUAGAGCCUAUAUCAUGACCUCAUCUGGAUAGCCAAGUUUCUUAUUUUCGUAGCAGAUGUUCCAAUUUAAGAGCAAAUAGAUGCUUAGAUGUUUGCCAUAUUACCUUAUAUAUAUGAUUCUUUUGUUUCCACCUGACCCCACAUUAAAGGAGGUUUCCCAUUGGAAGUAAUAGUUUAAUAUGAACCACAACUGACUUCGUAGUUUCAUAGCAUGCCAGGAAACUGGCUUUUCAAUCCUCAUUUCUUGUCAAUAAAUCACUUUUCUCCCCAGAACUUUUCUGACCAUACCCCAUAUUCUGUUUUACUUUGAGCAAGGCUCAUAAAGAUUAAUUCCAACCCAACUCAGAAACUCCAGAGGUGGGUCUCUGGACAUAGGUAUUU